rnacentral:rRNA from 1 species
CCUACGGGAGGCAGCAGUGGGGAAUAUUGCACAAUGGGGGAAACCCUGAUGCAGCGACGCCGCGUGAGUGAAGAAGUAUUUCGGUACGUAAAGCUCUAUCAGCAGGGAAGAAAAUGACGGUACCUGACUAAGAAGCCCCGGCUAACUACGUGCCAGCAGCCGCGGUAAUACGUAGGGGGCAAGCGUUAUCCGGAUUUACUGGGUGUAAAGGGAGCGUAGACGGCAGCGCAAGUCUGGAGUGAAAUCCCAUGGCUUAACCAUGGAACUGCCUUGGAAACUGUGCAGCUAGAGUGCAGGAGAGGUAAGCGGAAUGCCUAGUGUAGCGGUGAAAUGCGUAGAUAUUAGGAGGAACACCAGUGGCGAAGGCGGCUUACUGGACUGUAACUGACGUUGAGGCUCGAAAGCGUGGGGAGCAAACAGGAUUAGAUACCCCAGUAGUC